AUUGAACGCUGGCGGUAGGCCUAACACAUGCAAGUCGAGCGAGCGGCGGACGGGUGAGUAAUGUAUGGGGACUGCCCGAUGGAGGGGGGUAACUACUGGAAACGGUAGCUAAUACCGCAUACUAUCGGAUAACCCAUAUGGGAUUAGCUAGUAGGUGAGGUAAUGGCUCACCUAGGCGACGAUCCCUAGCUGGUCGGAGAGGCUGAUCAGCCACACUGGUACUGAGACACGGCCCAGACUCCUACGGAGGCAGCAGGGGGGAAUAUUGCACAAUGGGCGCAAGCCUGAUGCAGCCAUGCCGCGUGUAUGAAGAAGGCCCUAGGGUUGUAAAGUACUUUCAGCCGGGAGGCGUUACCGACAGAAGAAGCACCGGCUAACUCCGUGCCAGCAGCCGCGGUAAUUC
rnacentral:rRNA from 1 species